AGAGCGAACGCUGGCGGCAGGCCUAAUACAUGCAAGUCGAACGGACCCUUCGGGGUUAGUGGCGGACGGGUGAGUAACACGUGGGAACGUGCCCUUUGGUUCGGAACAACUCAGGGAAACUUGAGCUAAUACCGAAUGUGCCCUUCGGGGGAAAGAUUUAUCGCCAUUGGAGCGGCCCGCGUCUGAUUAGCUAGUUGGUGAGGUAAAGGCUCACCAAGGCUACGAUCAGUAGCUGGUCUGAGAGGAUGAUCAGCCACACUGGGACUGAGACACGGCCCAGACUCCUACGGGAGGCAGCAGUAGGGAAUCUGCGCAAUGGGCGAAAGCCUGACGCAGCCAUGCCGCGUGAAUGAUGAAGGUCUUAGGAUUGUAAAAUUCUUUCAGCGGGACGAUAAUGACGUACCGCAGAAGAAGCCCGGCUAACUCGCGCCAGCAGCCGC
rnacentral:rRNA from 1 species